rnacentral:rRNA from 1 species
GGGGGGGGGGGGGGGGAGGCCGAGCGGGGGCGGGUCGAACGGCAGCACAGUAAGAGCUUGCUCUUACGGGUGGCGAGUGGCGGACGGGGGAGGAAUACAUCGGAAUCUACUUUUUCGUGGGGGAUAACGUAGGGAAACUUACGCUAAUACCGCAUACGACCUACGGGUGAAAGCAGGGGAUCUUCGGACCUUGCGCGAUUGAAUGAGCCGAUGUCGGAUUAGCUAGUUGGCGGGGUAAAGGCCCACCAAGGCGACGAUCCGUAGCUGGUCUGAGAGGAUGAUCAGCCACACUGGAACUGAGACACGGUCCAGACUCCUACGGGAGGCAGCAGUGGGGAAUAUUGGACAAUGGGCGCAAACCUGAUCCAGCCAUACCGCGUGGGUGAAGAAGGCCUUCGGGUUGUAAAGCCCUUUUGUUGGGAAAGAAAAGCAGCAGGUUAAUACCCCGCUGUUCUGACGGUACCCAAAGAAUAAGCACCGGCUAACUUCGUG